UGCAUGCAGUCGACGAAGUCCCACCCUUCGGGGUGAUGACUUAGUGGCAGACGGCUGAGUAACACGUGAGUGAUCUGCCUUUGGGUGAGGGACAACAGAGGGAAACUUCUGCUAAUACCUCAUACGAUCCAUGAUCUAAGGUCUUGGAUGAAAGGUGCCGGGUAACUGGUUGCCGCCCUUAGAUGAGCUCGCGGCCUAUCAGGUUGUUGGUGGGGUAAUGGCCUACCAAGCCUAAGACGGGUAGCUGGUGUGAGAGCACGACCAGUCAGAGGGGGACUGAGACACGGCCCCCACUCCUACGGGAGGCAGCAGCAGGGAAUCUUCCACAAUGGGCGAAAGCCUGAUGGAGCGACGCCGCGUGAGGGAUGAAGGCUCUAGGGUCGUAAACCUCUUUUCUUAGGGAAGAGCAAGGACGGUACCUAAGGAAUAAGUGACGGCUAACUACGUGCCAGCAGCCGCGGUAAUACGUAGGUCACAAACGUUGUCCGGAAUUAUUGGGCGUAAAGGGUCCGUAGGCGGUUCGGUAAGUCUCCUGUGAAAUCUUCAGGCUCAACUUGAAGAGGUCGGGGGAUACUGCCGAACUUGAGACUGACAGAGGCAAGUGGAAUUCCCGGUGUAGUGGUGAAAUGCGUAGAUAUCGGGAGGAACACCAAUGGCGAAAGCGGCUUGCUGGGUCAGUUCUGACGCUGAGGGACGAAAGCGUGGGUAGCAAACCGGAUUAGAUACCCGGGUAGUCCACGCCGUAAACGAUGAAUGCUAGGUUUUCGGGGUAUCGACCCCCUGGGAGCCGCAGUUAACGCGAUAAGCAUUCCGCCUGGGGACUACGGUCGCAAGACU
rnacentral:rRNA from 1 species